CGGGGUUCGGGAAACAAGUGGCAAAUUACUGAACAUAACUUUUGAUCAUUUAUAAAGACGUUUAUAUAAUGCGGCGAUUAGACUCUGGUCAACUCCAAUGUUAGAAAAUACCCGAGUCCUUGGUGAAUUGGAUUAAUAAAUAAAAUUAUGGUUUGAUUCAAGGCGGUAGCGGUAGUACAAAAACAAAUAAUUACAGGCAAGGCACAUUGAACAAGCAAUAGCAGUAGAGCAAAAACAACAAGAGUGAAGAAAAGACAAGGAGAAGGAA